GGGGGAGACUUACCUAGGAUUCCUCACUCUUCCUGGCGCCUCCAGCAGCCUAAGCCAAGUGUCCUGGAACCCCUAGACUCUCGGAGAAGCAAGCGCAGUGAUGGCUGUGAUGAGGAGGCCGUGAUCCCUGCUGCCCCGUGAACUGCCUAUGGACCGCCUUGGUGCCCACCCAGCAAAGGAGCCUGGAGGGAUCACAAAUGGAACACCUCCAGUGGCCAUCUUUCCCACCAUGCAGAAAGAGCCUGCCUGGGAGUGAAAUAAUGGAGAAGGAAGCCAGCUCAGAGAGGCAGGAGAGAGCUCAGUGACCAGCAGGAGGUUCCCCCAAGCCUGGACUUUAAGCAAAGUUUCUGAUGUUUAUGACAGGAAGACUCUAAAAUAUACGGCUUAAAAUCAUCUUUCCCCUCCUUGUUACGCACAGCUCUUCCAUAUUUGGGGCCAAGGCUUUAUAAACACAGGCUGGUACAACGUCGGGGCACUGAAAUAAUAAACAAAUAUUCACAGGCA
ensembl:lncRNA